UACGUAGGCAGCAAGCGUUGUUCGGAGUUACUGGGCGUAAAGGGUGUGUAGGCGGUUCCCUAAGUUUGGUGUGAAGUCUCCCGGCUCAACUGGGAGGGUGCGCCGAAAACUGGGGGGCUAGAGUACUGGAUGGGAGAGUGGAAUUCCUGGUGUAGCGGUGAAAUGCGUAGAUAUUGGGAGGAACACCAGUGGCGAAGGCGGCUCACUGGACCGGAACUGACGCUGAGGCGCGAAAGCGUGGGGAGCAAACAGG
rnacentral:rRNA from 1 species